CCGGCGAUUUCCGAAUGGGGAAACCCAGUGUGUUUCGACACACUAUCAUUAACUGAAUCCAUAGGUUAAUGAGGCGAACCGGGGGAACUGAAACAUCUAAGUACCCCGAGGAAAAGAAAUCAACCGAGAUUCCCCCAGUAGCGGCGAGCGAACGGGGAGCAGCCCAGAGCCUGAAUCAGUGUGUGUGUUAGUGGAAGCGUCUGGAAAGGCGCGCGAUACAGGGUGACAGCCCCGUACACAAAAAUGCACAUACUGUGAGCUCGAUGAGUAGGGCGGGACACGUGGUAUCCUGUCUGAAUAUGGGGGGACCAUCCUCCAAGGCUAAAUACUCCUGACUGACCGAUAGUGAACCAGUACCGUGAGGGAAAGGCGAAAAGAACCCCGGCGAGGGGAGUGAAAAAGAACCUGAAACCGUGUACGUACAAGCAGUGGGAGCCUCUUAAUGGGGUGACUGCGUACCUUUUGUAUAAUGGGUCAGCGACUUAUAUUCUGUAGCAAGGUUAACCGAAUAGGGGAGCCGAAGGGAAACCGAGUCUUAACUGGGCGUUAAGUUGCAGGGUAUAGACCCGAAACCCGGUGAUCUAGCCAUGGGCAGGUUGAAGGUUGGGUAACACUAACUGGAGGACCGAACCGACUAAUGUUGAAAAAUUAGCGGAUGACUUGUGGCUGGGGGUGAAAGGCCAAUCAAACCGGGAGAUAGCUGGUUCUCCCCGAAAGCUAUUUAGGUAGCGCCUCGUGAAUUCAUCUCCGGGGGUAGAGCACUGUUUCGGCAAGGGGGUCAUCCCGACUUACCAACCCGAUGCAAACUGCGAAUACCGGAGAAUGUUAUCACGGGAGACACACGGCGGGUGCUAACGUCCGU
rnacentral:rRNA from 1 species